UACGAAGGGGGCUAGCGUUGCUCGGAAUGACUGGGCGUAAAGGGCGCGUAGGCGGAUGGUACAGUCAGAUGUGAAAUUCCCGGGCUUAACCUGGGGGCUGCAUUUGAUACGUGUUGUCUAGAGUGAGGAAGAGGGUCGUGGAAUUCCCAGUGUAGAGGUGAAAUUCGUAGAUAUUGGGAAGAACACCGGUGGCGAAGGCGGCGACCUGGUCCUUUACUGACGCUGAGGCGCGAAAGCGUGGGGAUCAAACAGG
rnacentral:rRNA from 1 species